AACGCUAGCUACAGGCUUAACACAUGCAAGUCGAGGGGCAGCACUAGGUAGCAAUACUGAGGUGGCGACCGGCGCACGGGUGCGUAACGCGUAUCCAACCUUCCCGUUACUCAGGGAUAGCCUUCCGAAAGGGAGAUUAAUACCUGAUGGUGUUCAAAUUCCGCAUGUUAUUUGAACUAAAGAUUUAUCGGUAACGGAUGGGGAUGCGUGACAUUAGGUAGAUGGCGGGGUAACGGCCCACCAUGCCUACGAUGUCUAGGGGUUCUGAGAGGAAGGUCCCCCACACUGGAACUGAGACACGGUCCAGACUCCUACGGGAGGCAGCAGUGAGGAAUAUUGGUCAAUGGCCGGAAGGCUGAACCAGCCAAGUAGCGUGAAGGAUGAAGGUUCUAUGGAUUGUAAACUUCUUUUAUACGGGAAUAAAACCACCUACGUGUAGGUGCUUGUAUGUACCGUAUGAAUAAGCAUCGGCUAACUCCGUGCCAGCAGCCGCGGUAAUACGGAGGAUGCGAGCGUUAUCCGGAUUUAUUGGGUUUAAAGGGAGCGUAGACGGGAGAUUAAGUCAGUUGUGAAAGGCUGCGGCUCAACCGCAGCACUGCAGUUGAUACUGGUUUCCUUGAGUGCGGUUGAGGUGUAUGGAAUUCGUGGUGUAGCGGUGAAAUGCUUAGAUAUCACGAAGAACUCCGAUUG
rnacentral:rRNA from 1 species